GCAAUACUCCCUCCGUUCCAAAAUAGAUGACUCAACUUUGUACUAACUUUGUACUAAAGUUAGUACAAAAUUGAGUCAUCUAUUUUGGAACGGAGGGAGUACAAU
rnacentral:pre_miRNA from 1 species